GAUUUAAUUUCUUGAGCUCUAGAACUCCUAUCCCUCGUGUUCUCAUUGUCUUCUCUGUCGAAUCUUCCUCCCAUAAUCGAAAAAUUAAUCUCGACGUCUGCUCGAGUUCGUCUUCUCCGUGUACGACUUUUUCUACCUCUUUUUCUGCUUCUCGUCAAUUCGUGGGCUUCCUGAACAGAUCGAAUAUUUUGCCAGACUAAGCUCGGAGAUUGUUAUUUGAAGUGAUUUGUUGAGCUUUUUCCAGAGAUGUAGACAACCUGUGAAGACUAUUUUGUACAACUUAUAUGUGAUGAAGGACAUACUCAACAUCAUUCCAUUGAGCAUGAUUGAAUUUACCAAGGGGGUAAAUAGAUUUAUGAAAAGUUUGUUUUAUUGUUGUUUAAGUGAGUUAAUGUUUUAAUGGCAAUUGCUUAUUUCAAAUGUUAAAUAUUGUGGAUUCAUUCUUUGUCGAAGAGGUUGAUGACAUUCACAACUCGUGGAACAGUUUUUUGUGGAUGGUAUGUGA